AAAUCGCGAUAUGUAGUGUGAUCUGCCUAUAGUGAAUCAUCAAAUCUUUGAACGCAUCUUGCACCCCUGGGUAUUCCUGGGGGUACGCCUGUUUCAGUAUCAUUAUAACUUCUCUCCCUAAAAUUUAUUUUUUGGGCCGAGGAAAUAUUACCAUUGGCCCUGGUACCUUUUUAAGGUAGUCUCGGCUGGAAUUGCGAUUUUGGGCAUGAUUCUUUAUUUUUACCCACUCUUUGGUAGAUUUUUUACUAAGGAUGCUAAUAAUAAUAGAAGCUCCCCAUCACUUCAUAACCAUCUCAAACCUUGAUCUGAAAUCAGGCGGGAUUACCCGCUGAACUUAA
rnacentral:misc_RNA from 1 species